rnacentral:rRNA from 1 species
GAUUGCCCUAGUAACGGCGAGUGAAGCGGCAACAGCUCAAAUUUGAAAUCUGGCUCCUUCGGGGUCCGAGUUGUAAUUUGCAGAAGAUGCUUCUGGUGUGGUCCCGGUCUAAGUCCCUUGGCACAGGACGUCAUAGAGGGUGAGAACCCCGUAUGUGACCGGUGGCCUAUGCCUCUGUGAAGCUCUUUCAACGAGUCGAGUUGUUUGGGAAUGCAGCUCAAAAUGGGUGGUAUAUUCCAUCUAAAGCUAAAUAUUGGCCAGAGACCGAUAGCGCACAAGUAGAGUGAUCGAAAGAUGAAAAGCACUUUGAAAAGAGAGUUAAAUAGUACGUGAAAUUGUUAAAAGGGAAGCUCUUGCUACCAGACGCGGGCGCCGUUGAUCAUCCUAGGUUUUCCUGGGUGCACUCGGCGGUGCUCGGGUCAGCAUCGGUUUUGGUGGUGGGAUAAAGGCCCUGGGAAUGUAGCUCCUCUUCGGGGGAGUGUUAUAGCCCUCGGUGCAAUGCCACCUACCGGGACCGAGGACCGCGCUUCGGCGAGGAUGCUGGCAUAAUGGUCGUAAGCGGCCCGUCUUGAAACACGGACCAAGGAGUCUAACAUCUAUGCGAGUGUUUGGGUGGUAAACCCAUUCGCGGAAUGAAAGUGAACGUAGCUGAGAACCCCUCGGGGCGCACCAGCGACCGAUCCUGAUGUCUUCGGACGGAUUUGAGUAAGAGCAUAGCUGUUGGGACCCGAAAGAUGGUGAACUAUGCUUGCAUAGGGUGAAGCCAGAGGAAACUCUGGUGGAGGCUCGCAGCGGUUCUGACGUGCAAAUCGAUCGUCAAUGUGGGCAUAGGGGCGAAGACUAAUCGAACAUCUA